AUCCGGAUGACGGGUCGCAAAUAGGACGAAAUGAGCAUCAUGGAU
rfam:Trichobilharzia regenti genome assembly, scaffold: TRE_scaffold0000809